rnacentral:rRNA from 1 species
AACGAACGCUGGCGGCGGGCUUAACACAUGCAGGUCGAGCGCCCCGCAAGGGGAGCGGCAGACGGGUGAGUAACGCGUGGGCAUCUACCCAUCUCUACGGAAUAACGCAUGGAAACGUGUGCUAAUACCGUAUACGUCCUUCGGGAGAAAGAUUUAUCGGAGAUGGAUGAGCCCGCGUUGGAUUAGCUAGUUGGUGGGGUAAAGGCCUACCGAGGCGACGAUCCAUAGCUGGUCUGAGAGGAUGAUCAGCCACACUGGGACUGAGACACGGCCCAGACUCCUACGGGAGGCAGCAGUGGGGAAUAUUGGACAAUGGGCGCAAGCCUGAUCCAGCCAUGCCGCGUGAGUGAUGAAGGCCCUAGGGUUGUAAAGCUCUUUCACCGGUGAAGAUAAUGACGGUAACCGGAGAAGAAGCCCCGGCUAACUUCGUGCCAGCCGCCGCCGUAACAC